AUUGAACGCUGGCGGCAGGCCUAACACAUGCAAGUCGAGCGGAUGAAGGGAGCUUGCUCCUGGAUUCAGCGGCGGACGGGUGAGUAAUGCCUAGGAAUCUGCCUGGUAGUGGGGGAUAACGUCCGGAAACGGGCGCUAAUACCGCAUACGUCCUGAGGGAGAAAGUGGGGGAUCUUCGGACCUCACGCUAUCAGAUGAGCCUAGGUCGGAUUAGCUAGUUGGUGGGGUAAAGGCCUACCAAGGCGACGAUCCGUAACUGGUCUGAGAGGAUGAUCAGUCACACUGGAACUGAGACACGGUCCAGACUCCUACGGGAGGCAGCAGUGGGGAAUAUUGGACAAUGGGCGAAAGCCUGAUCCAGCCAUGCCGCGUGUGUGAAGAAGGUCUUCGGAUUGUAAAGCACUUUAAGUUGGGAGGAAGGGCAGUAAGUUAAUAUCUUGCUGUUUUGACAUUACCAACAGAAUAAGCACCGGCUAACUUCGUG
rnacentral:rRNA from 1 species